rnacentral:rRNA from 1 species
AGAGUUUGAUCAUGGCUCAGGACGAACGCUGGCGGCGUGCCUAACACAUGCAAGUCGAACGGUUGAGAGGUGAGAGUUGGGAGGUUAGAAGUGAGAGCUUGAAGGUAUUGGCCAACAUGCCAAUACCAGCAAUGAAGUCUCACAUCCCGCUUCCCACAUCUCACUUCUCAAUAGUGGCGGACGGGUGAGUAACGCGUGGGCAACCUACCCAUCAGACUGGGAUAACACCGGGAAACUGGUGCUAAUACCGGAUACGCUUAUGGAGGGGCAUCCCUUUGUAAGGAAAGAAAAUCGCUGAUGGAUGGGCCCGCGUCUGAUUAGCUAGUUGGUGGGGUAGUGGCCUACCAAGGCGACGAUCAGUAGCCGGCCUGAGAGGGUGACCGGCCACACUGGGACUGAGACACGGCCCAGACUCCUACGGGAGGCAGCAGUGGGGAAUAUUGCGCAAUGGGGGAAACCCUGACGCAGCAACGCCGCGUGAGUGACGAAGGCCUUCGGGUCGUAAAGCUCUGUCGACAGGGACGAAUAGAUGACGGUACCUGAGGAGGAAGCCCCGGCUAACUACGUGCCAGCAGCCGCGGUAAUACGUAG